rnacentral:rRNA from 1 species
GGGUGACUGUGCUAGCCCGCUCCUUUCCGGGAGUGUGUGCCGGCAUACGUCAUUCAUCCUUCUAGAAAGCCUUGCCUGCCGUUCAUUCGGCCGGGCAUGUGCGGUCUAGAUCUUUUACUUUGAAUAAAUUAGAGUGUUUAAAGCAGGCUUACGCUAUGAAUACACUAGCAUGGAAUAAUAAUAUAGGACUUUGGUUCUAUUUUGUUGGUUUCUAGGACUGAAGUA